rnacentral:rRNA from 1 species
AUUGAACGCUGGCGGAAUGCUUUACACAUGCAAGUCGAACGGCAGCACGGGGCAACCUGGUGGCGAGUGGCGAACGGGUGAGUAAUACAUCGGAACGUGCCCAAUCGUGGGGGAUAACGUAGCGAAAGUUACGCUAAUACCGCAUACGAUCUACGGAUGAAAGCGGGGGAUCGCAAGACCUCGCGCGAAUGGAGCGGCCGAUGUCAGAUUAGGUAGUUGGUGGGGUAAAGGCUCACCAAGCCGACGAUCUGUAGCUGGUCUGAGAGGACGACCAGCCACACUGGGACUGAGACACGGCCCAGACUCCUACGGGAGGCAGCAGUGGGGAAUUUUGGGACAAUGGGCGCAAGCCUGAUCCAGCCAUUCCGCGUGCAGGAUGAAGGCCUCGGUGUAACUGCUUU